AACGAACGCUGGCGGCAUGCCUAACACAUGCAAGUCGAACGAGACCUUCGGGUCUAGUGGCGCACGGGUGCGUAACGCGUGGGAACCUGCCCUUAGGUUCGGAAUAACUCCCCGAAAGGGGUGCUAAUACCGGAUAAUGUCUUCGGACCAAAGAUUUAUCGCUUUUGGAUGGGCCCGCGUUGGAUUAGCUAGUUGGUAGGGUAAAAGCCUACCAAGGCGACGAUCCAUAGCUGGUCUGAGAGGAUGAUCAGCCACACUGGGACUGAGACACGGCCCAGACUCCUACGGGAGGCAGCAGUGGAAUAUUGGACAAUGGGCGAAAGCCUGAUCCAGCAAUGCCGCGUGAGUGAUGAAGGCCUUAGGGUUGUAAAGCUCUUUUACCCGGGAUGAUAAUGACAGUACCGGGAGAAUAAGCUCCGGCUAACUCCGUG
rnacentral:rRNA from 1 species